rnacentral:rRNA from 1 species
ACUGCUAUCGGAUUGGUACUAAGCCAUGUGAGUCAUUGUAGCAAUACAAGGCAUACGGCUCAGUAACACGUAGUCAAUCUACCCUAUGGACGGGGAUAACUUCGGGAAACUGAGGAUAAACCCCGAUAGAUCAUAAUGCCUGGAAUGGUUUAUGGUCCAAACGAUUCGUCGCCGUAGGAUGGGACUGCGGCCUAUCAGCUUGUUGGUGAGGUAAUGGCCCACCAAGGCGAUUACAGGUACGGGCUCUGAGAGGAGAAGCCCGGAGAUGGGUACUGAGACACGGACCCAGGCCCUAUGGGGCGCAGCAGGCGAGAAACCUUUGCAAUGUGCGCAAGCACGACAAGGUUAAUCCGAGUGAUUCCUGCUAAAGGAAUCUUUUGUUAGUCGUAAAACCACUAGUGAAUAAGGGGUGGGCAAGUUCUGGUGUCAGCCGCCGCGGUAAAACCAGCACCUCAAGUGGUCAGGAGGAUUAUUGGGCCUAAAGCAUCCGUAGCCUGUUCUGUAAGUUUCCGGUUAAAUCCAUUAGCUCAACUAAUGGGCUGCCGGAAAUACUGUAGAACUAGGAAGUGGGAGAGGUAGACGGUACUCGGUAGGAAGGGGUAAAAUCCUUUGAUCUAUUGAUGACCACCAGUGGCGAAGGCGGUCUACCAGAACACGUUCGACGGUGAGGGAUGAAAGCUGGGGGAGCAAACCGGAUUAGAUACCCGGGUAGUCCCAGCUGUAAACGAUGCAGACUCGGUGAUGCCCUGGCUUGUGGCCAGUGCAGUGCCGCAGGGAAGCCGUUAAGUUUGCCGCCUGGGAAGUACGUACGCAAGUAUGAAACCUAAAGGAAUUGGCGGGGGAGCACCACAAGGGGUGAAG